rnacentral:rRNA from 1 species
AUUGAACGCUGGCGGAAUGCUUUACACAUGCAAGUCGAACGGCAGCACGGGAGCUUGCUCCUGGUGGCGAGUGGCGAACGGGUGAGUAAUGCAUCGGAACGUGCCCAUUUGUGGGGGAUAACUAGUCGAAAGACUAGCUAAUACCGCAUAAGCUGGAGAGAGGAAAGCGGGGGAUCGUAAGAACUCGCGCAGAUGGAGCGGCCGGUGUCCGAUUAGAUAGUUGGUGAGGUAAAGGCCCACCAAGGCGACGAUCGGUAGCUGGUCUGAGAGGACGACCAGCCACACUGGGACUGAGACACGGCCCAGACUCCUACGGGAGGCAGCAGUGGGGAAUUUUGGACAAUGGGGGCAACCCUGAUCCAGCCAUUCCGCGUGUGGGAAGAAGGCCUUCGGGUUGUAAACCACUUUCGGACGGGAAGAAAUCGACGUGACGAAUAAUCGUGUCGGAUGACGGUACCGUAAGAAGAAGCACCGGCUAACUACGUGCCAGCCGCCGCAGUAA